CGGGUGCGUAACACGUAAAGAACCUAUCCUUAAGCGGGGGAUAGCCUCUGGAAACGGGGGGUAAUACCGCAUAGGUCAUUAGUGAGGCAUCUCAGGAAUGGCAAAGGGUUACGCAAGUAACUCACUUAAGGAGGGCUUUGCGGCCUAUCAGGUAGUUGGUGGGGUCACGGCCUACCAAGCCAAAGACGGGUAGCUGGUCUGAGAGGACGGUCAGCCUCACUGGGACUGAGAUACGGCCCAG
rnacentral:rRNA from 1 species